AACGCGAAGAACCUUACCUGGGUUUGACAUACACCGGAAAGCCGUAGAGAUACGGCCCCUUUUAGUCGGUGUACAGGUGGUGCAUGGCUGUCGUCAGCUCGUGUCGUGAGAUGUUGGGUUAAGUCCCGCAACGAGCGCAACCCUUGUCCCGUGUUGCCAGCAGGCCCUUGUGGUGCUGGGGACUCACGGGAGACCGCCGGGGUCAACUCGGAGGAAGGUGGGGACGACGUCAAGUCAUCAUGCCCCUUAUGUCUUGGGCUGCACACGUGCUACAAUGGCCGGUACAAUGAGCUGCGAUACCGCGAGGUGGAGCGAAUCUCAAAAAGCCGGUCUCAGUUCGGAUUGGGGUCUGCAACUCGACCCCAUGAAGUCGGAGUCGCUAGUAAUCGCAGAUCAGCAUUGCUGCGGUGAAUACGUUCCCGGGCCUUGUACACACCG
rnacentral:rRNA from 1 species